UGGGGAAUAUUGCGCAAUGGACGAAAGUCUGACGCAGCGACGCCGCGUGAGGGAUGAAGGUUUUCGGAUCGUAAACCUCUGUCAGGGGGGAAGAAAGCACAGGUUGCCAAUCAGGCUUGUGUUGACGGUACCUCCAAAGGAAGCGCCGGCUAACUCCGUGCCAGCAGCCGCGGUAAUACGGAGGGCGCAAGCGUUAAUCGGAAUCACUGGGCGUAAAGCGCGCGUAGGCUGUUUUGUAAGCCAGAGGUGAAAGCCCGCAGCUCAACUGCGGAAAUGCCUUUGGAACUGCAGGACUUGAAUCCAGGAGAGGGUGGCGGAAUUCCAGGUGUAGGAGUGAAAUCCGUAGAUAUCUGGAGGAACACCAGCGGCGAAGGCGGCCACCUGGCCUGGAAUUGACGCUGAGGCGCGAAAGCGUGGGGAGCAAACAGG
rnacentral:rRNA from 1 species